UUUCGACGCUUCUCAGACAGCAUGCCGCGUGGAGGAGAAGGUCCUCUGGAUUGUAAAAACUUUUCUCUGGGACGAAACCCCCGAUUUCCAUCGGGCCUGACGGUACCAGAGGAAUAAGCACCGGCUAACUCCGUGCCAGCAGCCGCGGUAAUACGGAGGGUGCAAGCGUUAUCCGGAUUCACUGGGUUUAAAGGGUGCGUAGGCGGGUUUGUAAGUCAGUGGUGAAAUCCCCGAGCUUAACUUGGGAACUGCCAUUGAUACUGCAAGUCUUGAAUUUUCUGGAGGUAAGCGGAAUAUGUCAUGUAGCGGUGAAAUGCUUAGAUAUGACAUAGAACACCCAUUGCGAAGGCAGCUUACUACGGGAAUAUUGACGCUGAGGCACGAAAGCGUGGGGAUCAAACAGGAUUAGAUACCCUGGUAGUCCACGCCCUAAACGAUGAUUACUCGACAUUAGCGAUAUUACAGUUAGUGUCUAAGCGAAAGCAUUAAGUAAUCCACCUGGGAAGUACGACCGCAAGGUUGAAACUCAAAGGAAUUGACGGA
rnacentral:rRNA from 1 species